GACGAACGCUGGCGGCGUGCUUAACACAUGCAAGUCGAACGGAAAGGCCCUGCUUUUGUGGGGUGCUCGAGUGGCGAACGGGUGAGUAACACGUGAGUAACCUGCCCUUGACUUUGGGAUAACUUCAGGAAACUGGGGCUAAUACCGGAUAUGAGCUCCUGCUGCAUGGUGGGGGUUGGAAAGUUUCGGCGGUUGGGGAUGGACUCGCGGCUUAUCAGCUUGUUGGUGGGGUAGUGGCUUACCAAGGCUUUGACGGGUAGCCGGCCUGAGAGGGUGACCGGCCACAUUGGGACUGAGAUACGGCCCAGAAUCCUACGGGAGGCAGCAGUGGGGAAUAUGGCACAAUGGGCGGAAGCCUGAUGCAGCAACGCCGCGUGCGGGAUGACGGCCUUCGGGUUGUAAACCGCUUUCGCCUGUGACGAAGCGUGAGUGACGGUAAUGGGUAAAGAAGCACCGGCUAACUACGUG
rnacentral:rRNA from 1 species